UUAAACUGAAGAGUUUGAUCAUGGCUCAGAUUGAACGCUGGCGGCAGGCCUAACACAUGCAAGUCGAGCGGUAGCAGAUCCA
rnacentral:rRNA from 1 species